rnacentral:rRNA from 1 species
CACGUAGGGGCCAAGCGUUGUCCGGAUUUAUUGGGCGUAAAGAGCUCGUAGGCGGUUCGGUAAGUCGGGUGUGAAAACUCUGGGCUCAACCCAGAGACGCCACCCGAUACUGCUGUGACUGGAGUCCGGUAGGGGAGUGGGGAAUUCCUGGUGUAGCGGUGAAAUGCACAGAUAUCAGGAGGAACACCGGUGGCGAAGGCGGCAUCCUGGACCGGCAUUGACGCUGAGGCGCGAAAGCCAGGGGGAGCAAACGGG